rnacentral:rRNA from 1 species
GGAUUUUAUUCUAAAUGGCCGCGGAAUUUUAACCGUGCUAAGGUAGCAUAAUCAUUUGUCUUUUAAUUGGAGACUUGUAUGAACGGUUUAACGGAGCUUAACUGUCUCUUUUAUAAUGAAUAAAAAUUAAUCUUAAAGUUAAAAAGCUUUAAUAAAAUAAAAAGACAAAAAGACCCUAUAGAGUUUUAUUUUAUAUCUAUAUACUAUAGUAAUAAAAUUUAGUUGGGGCAACUAAAGAAAAUAAAAAUUUCUUUUUAUUAAAUAAUUAUAUCUAUAGCAUUUUUUAAAUAAAUCAAAAUAAAUUACCUUAGGGAUAACAGCAUAAUAUUUCUUUGAGAGUUCAAAUCGAAAAGAAAAAUUAU